GGUUAAGCGACUAAGCGUACACGGUGGAUGCCCUGGCAGUCAGAGGCGAUGAAGGACGUGCUAAUCUGCGAUAAGCGUCGGUGAGGUGAUAUGAACCGUUAUAACCGGCGAUUUCCGAAUGGGGAAACCCAGUGUGUUUCGACACACUAUCAUUAACUGAAUCCAUAGGUUAAUGAGGCGAACCGGGGGAACUGAAACAUCUAAGUACCCCGAGGAAAAGAAAUCAACCGAGAUUCCCCCAGUAGCGGCGAGCGAACGGGGAGGAGCCCAGAGCCUGAAUCAGUGUGUGUGUUAGUGGAAGCGUCUGGAAAGGCGUGCGAUACAGGGUGACAGCCCCGUACACAAAAAUGCACAUAUUGUGAGCUCGAUGAGUAGGGCGGGACACGUGGUAUCCUGUCUGAAUAUGGGGGGACCAUCCUCCAAGGCUAAAUACUCCUGACUGACCGAUAGUGAACCAGUACCGUGAGGGAAAGGCGAAAAGAACCCCGGCGAGGGGAGUGAAAAAGAACCUGAAACCGUGUACGUACAAGCAGUGGGAGCCUCUUAAUGGGGUGACUGCGUACCUUUUGUAUAAUGGGUCAGCGACUUAUAUUCUGUAGCAAGGUUAACCGAAUAGGGGAGCCGAAGGGAAACCGAGUCUUAACUGGGCGUUAAGUUGCAGGGUAUAGACCCGAAACCCGGUGAUCUAGCCAUGGGCAGGUUGAAGGUUGGGUAACACUAACUGGAGGACCGAACCGACUAAUGUUGAAAAAUUAGCGGAUGACUUGUGGCUGGGGGUGAAAGGCCAAUCAAACCGGGAGAUAGCUGGUUCUCCCCGAAAGCUAUUUAGGUAGCGCCUCGUGAAUUCAUCUCCGGGGGUAGAGCACUGUUUCGGCAAGGGGGUCAUCCCGACUUACCAACCCGAUGCAAACUGCGAAUACCGGAGAAUGUUAUCACGGGAGACACACGGCGGGUGCUAACGUCCGUCGUGAAGAGGGAAACAACCCAGACCGCCAGCUAAGGUCCCAAAGUCAUGGUUAAGUGGGAAACGAUGUGGGAAGGCCCAGACAGCCAGGAUGUUGGCUUAGAAGCAGCCAUCAUUUAAAGAAAGCGUAAUAGCUCACUGGUCGAGUCGGCCUGCGCGGAAGAUGUAACGGGGCUAAACCAUGCACCGAAGCUGCGGCAGCGACACUAUGUGUUGUUGGGUAGGGGAGCGUUCUGUAAGCCUGUGAAGGUGGCCUGUGAGGGUUGCUGGAGGUAUCAGAAGUGCGAAUGCUGACAUAAGUAACGAUAAAGCGGGUGAAAAGCCCGCUCGCCGGAAGACCAAGGGUUCCUGUCCAACGUUAAUCGGGGCAGGGUGAGUCGACCCCUAAGGCGAGGCCGAAAGGCGUAGUCGAUGGGAAACAGGUUAAUAUUCCUGUACUUGGUGUUACUGCGAAGGGGGGACGGAGAAGGCUAUGUUGGCCGGGCGACGGUUGUCCCGGUUUAAGCGUGUAGGCUGGUUUUCCAGGCAAAUCCGGAAAACCAAGGCUGAGGCGUUAUGACGAGGCACUACGGUGCUGAAGCGACAAAUGCCCUGCUUCCAGGAAAAGCCUCUAAGCAUCAGGUAACAUCAAAUCGUACCCAAAACCGACACAGGUGGUCAGGUAGAGAAUACCAAGGCGCUUGAGAGAACUCGGGUGAAGGAACUAGGCAAAAUGGUGCCGUAACUUCGGGAGAAGGCACGCUGAUAUGUAGGUGAAGCGACUUGCUCGUGGAGCUGAAAUCAGUCGAAGAUACCAGCUGGCUGCAACUGUUUAUUAAAAACACAGCACUGUGCAAACACGAAAGUGGACGUAUACGGUGUGACGCCUGCCCGGUGCCGGAAG
rnacentral:rRNA from 1 species